UCUGUCACAGGGCACUUGGGGAUGGCGAGGAAACCGUUACCAUUACUGAGUUUAGUAAUGGUGACGGUUCUCUUGCUGCUCCCCGAAACUGUGCCAGGAAGA
rnacentral:pre_miRNA from 13 species